CCGGAUGAUCUCCAGUAAGGGGUACCAUCCUUUCAAUAUUCAAGAGGCACCUUCUACAUGAAACCCCUAGACUGCCCAACAGUGGGUUCAGAAAGAGGCAAAACUCUACCCCUGUCUUUCUUGAACCUGGCUGCACACAACUUUCACCAACCUACGGAGUCACCCUCCUUCCUGGACAGCUAAAAAGAGGCCAAGACCCAUAGAACCAUCACUGCCCCUUUGUUAGCAGGAAGCAGUUACAGAAGACUGACCUUUGUCCAUUUCCCCCCAAAGAUUUAGGGUCUUGGGCUCUUGAAAGAAGCAUGUUACCGAUAGUUAGACAGGCAUGAGCGAGGCAGUAGAGGGCUCUUCCCGCACCCACUAGGAAUGUCAGGUGAUGGUCUAGCAAUUACUACAUUGCCUCUCUAGAAGUGAUAAACUCACAGCUGGUGCCUGGAGGAGCCAUUUCCUCAUGGUCCACAACUGUUGCACUAAAGUGUUGAUUAAAUGCAGUUGCCAGGGAGAUACAACGUCCCAAGCAUGUGCAUUAAGAGAUUAAAUGGAGGAGGAUGACCUACUGGAGGCACACCACUGGAAAAAGGAAGAAAGCCUCAGAUGGGCAUGCGUUCAACUUCCUGAACACUCUGCGUGUGCUCACUUCCCAAGGGUGAUAAAAUAUCUUCUGGCGUCUUGACUGACUGAUCUUAAUCAGGAAUGAAAAGAAACAGAACAUGGCCACAGACACUAACCACUGUACGUCGCCCAUGGCAUUUGAUCAUCUUUCCUUCCACCCUCCAUCUUCUGCUCUCACCUCAGUGAGGAGACAUCUCUCUGGCAAAGCUCACUAUAAAGACACCACUCAAAAAUAAAGCCUCCUCGGUUCUCUAGCUGCCUGACAUUUUUUAAUAGAAUGACUCUGGCACCAUAUGUCAGAAAGUCUUAUAACCAGCAUAUCUCAUCACCAUCCUUUGGAUCCAUCAAGCCUCCAUAAGAGUGAGCAAAAAUGAAAAGGAGAUAAUGAAGGUCUAUUUUUUUAUUUUCUAAGCACCAAUAAAGAAACUUAUUCGUAGUUCUCUGAGAAUGAUACAUUUGUUUAAUAUUAAACUAAUGUUAUUUUUAUGAGUCAUAUUUUUGCAUUACCAGUGUAUUACUGGGCUAUGGUAGGAGGAAAAGAGCAAUAAUGAAAUCACAAAAUGGUUAUUAAAGCUUCCUUUCAAAAGUCUUA